rnacentral:lncRNA from 1 species
GGAAAUUGCAAUGUAAACAUUGACUAGUGUAAAUCGAAGUGACAACACUAAUUAACCCAAGAUAAAGUGAUCUACAGAUUUAAGACCAUCAAAUGUGUUAAUUAGGCCAUAAACAUGUCACCUAAAGAAAACAGUAACAUAAACAAAUGCUAUAAACAUAUCUUGAAUUGUCAAAUAAUUCUUAUCAAAAUCAAGCCAAGCAUGAAAUUAUUAUUUCCCAUAUGUAGGAGAACUAUGAGGAUAUAAAGUGAACACUUUAUCAUACAAGCAUAUCAAUACUGGAAAUCUG